CAUUGUGCUCUUACUUUCUGUUUGGGUAUGUUAUUGUAGUAGUACAACAUUUUUGAGCAAUUAACUCAUUGGAACCUUUUCUUUUUUAACAGAUUAUGAAGACUAGAGUUGUAUCAGGAGCUGUUUAGAAGAUCAGUAUGUACUUUUUUUAGAAGCUUAAUUAAGAAAUCAUGUACUUUUGGUCUUGAAUGUAUUGAGUAACAUUGAAUCCAUGUUGGACUAUAGUUAUUAUAUGAGCUAUUUAUAAUAUUUCUAAAUUUCUUUUUCUUCUUACGUUAGUCCAUUUACACUCAUCUUUCAUGCUAUGGAGGAAGAACUUUGACGUAACCGGUAAAGUUGUUGUCAUGUAACUAGAAGGUCAUGUACGAGUUCGACAUGUGGAAAAUACCUCUCGCAGAGAGUUUAGUGCAUUAGGCUACCCUAAUUUUGUACUCGUUUUGUAUUCCUUCCAAUGCCUGCUACUCAAACCCUCUAUCCUAUCUCGGGGUCACGUCAAGUAGAUUCCACUUUAGAGAUAAGUUUUUUAUCUUAAUCGAUCAAAAUAGAUUAAGACCGUCAAAAGUUACUUAGUCUCAUUCGAGAAUUUAAUCUCCUUAGUGUGACAAAGAGCCCAUUCAAUAGCAUUUGUGCCAGCUUGAAAGGACGUACUACCAUGAUAUCUAAUGCUCUCUCAAUGUCAAUAGGGACUCAACAACUUUUGGUAAAAUAUAAUAAAAGUAACGUCGAUAAGGAUUCAACGACUUUUUGGUGAAAUAAAAUAUAUAAAAGUAAAGUAACUACUUCCUAAAAUUAUCCAAUUUGUAGACCACAAGUUACCUUUGUCUAUGAACCUUUUUUGUUAACUUUAAUGAGUAAUUCAUUUGUUUAUUUCCCUCUUGUUAUUAAAGCUAAAGAAGUCUGGCAAUAAUUUAUACAACAUUUGGUAUGGUAGAAAAAAAAGUUAUUUAUAUAUAAAAUUAAUACAAGAUUUGGUUGACAAUUUAGUAACCCACAAUCCACAUAACUAAUAUUAUGAGUGAACCUAUAUAUUAUUUUAUGCAUGAUAGAAGGUGGAAUAACUAAUACAUGAAAAACUAAUUCCAUAUAAAAUAAUGGCUUAAGUCAUCAGUGGCCCCUUAAAGUUGUCCGCAUAAUUCACUUAGACACCUCAUCUAAGGCUUGUAUCUAUUGAACACCUCUACCAUUCUGAAUUUGAACCAUUUGAACAUUUUUUUGAGAAUAAGCCAAAAGUAGAAAAUGUGUGAAAUACACUCGCGCUGACAUGUCAAUUUGACUAAUUAUAUACUGACAUGUGUAAUUUUUUAAUCCAAAAAAUUAUUUAAACAUUAUAUUAAAAGUAAAAAAAAAAGGAAAUUAUUUUAAAGUUAAAAAAAAAUGAAAAAAAACUUGAACUUAAACCACCCCACUUCCCCUGCUAUCCACUGAAGCCCAACUCACAUUUCCCUCUACAAUACCACCCCGUUAAUGGCGACCCUCCCUCUCCCUGUACAGUGCCAUCUCCAACACGACAAAUCUUCUUUUCCAUUAGCCUAUUUUUCAAUUAUAACUUUCUUCUUCGUCUCGUUUUAGGUAGAGAAAGAUGGGGAAAAAAAUCUCGCCGGAAAAUUAAUAAGUUCCGAUUGUCAUUGUCGGAAAAAAUGGAGUUAUUUCGAUUUUUUUGUGUUUCAUAAGAACAUCCUUACAUUCUGCCAAUAUACAUCAAUUUAAAGUCAAAACAACACAUUCAGGACAAAUCAAAAAACUUCAAUAAAAAUUUGACCAAAGCAAAUAAUAAAUAAAAAUUUAACACCAAAUUACUAAAUUAACAGCAAAGAGACAGACCCAAAACUUAAAGCACUUUACAAAUUAAACAUGAUGAAAAUGACGGUGAUAAUGGUGGAAUGGUGGUCAGCCAAUCCUAAUAUGGAGGACAACGGAGGAAGGGAUGCCAAAGAAGAUGAAGAAGAAAUAAUAUUUUUUUUCCAAAAAAAAAACGCUCAAUUUAAAACCUUUCACGCGCCUAAAGGGUGUGAAUCACAAACAAUGUGCCACCUAGGCAAAAAAUGUUCAAAUGGAUCAAAUUCAGAAUGGUAGAGGUGUUCAAUAGGUACAAACCUUAGUUGAGGUGUCUAAGUGAAUUAUGCAGACAACUUUAAGGGGCCUCAGAUGACUUAAGUCUAAAAUAAUACAUUGGUUCACUCAUAACUAAUUAAUACAUUACUAAUAUGUACAUAACUCUAACCAGCUACCAAACGAUAAUUGUGUGAGGUAAAUUUGGUUAGUUUUAAUUGACUAUUGAGAUGCCCAUCACAUGUUUGAUAAAAUGCCUGAAAGAGAUUGAAAGCAUGUGUGUGUGUGUCCAUUUGCAUCCCCUUAAUUAAUAUUCAUGUGAUCAAGGGUGUUUGAAAAUUGAAACUGCAGUAUAUAUCUCUAAGAAGUUGUUUUUGAUCGAUAUUCAUAGUAUUAUCUUCUAUAUGCAUAGUAUAAUAUUUCGACAAAGGGUGUUCGAGUGACCACCCUUAGGUCAAUGUAGCUAUGCGAAAAGCAAUAGAUCCCAUGAAUGCUAGAACAUUUGGAAGUUUUAUCAUCCUUAGUAGCUGAAAUCCAUACUGUAUCACUCGUCGAAGCCAGAGAUUGAUCUAAGUAUUCAUUUUUUGAGUGAUUCUAUACUCUUAAUUGUUUAGUUCCUUAUAUUGUGCUCCUUGCAAGUUGAACUAUAAUUAUAUAUAUGAACUGUCUUUAGUAUUUCUAGGCUUUUAUUUUCUUCUUUUAAUAGAUACUCUUCGAUUUGUGAACUAUAAACAUAUUGCAGCACUUUUAUUUACCGUUUUCUUGUGUGAUUAUUCAGAUCUAAUGAUUGUUUGAGCUUCUCUAAUCAGUUUUUUUUCCCUCCGUAGGAGCUCCCACUUUCUUUGCUCCCUUGGUGACUCGAACUCACAACGUUACUAUGGGAAGUGAGGGGUGUUUACCAUCCGAGCAACUCCCUCUUAUCAGUUACAUAUUAAGAAAAGGCUUAAUAGUUCGGGAUCCCCUGAACUUGACACCUUUUGUUCGGUGUACACCUGAACUAUUCUAAAUGGCCUAGUCUCAGCAAGUAGUUCUCUUUAUAGUCAGUCAAAACACUUCCAAGAAUAAAACUCUGUUACUUCCUAGAUUAUAAGUCUAGCUAUCUGAAUAGGGCCCAAGCUGGUUCAUACUUCUUAUCUUAAUAAUAAAGGUGAGUCAUCCUAGGAUUAGCAGUCAGAGAGAGAAUGCUGAGUUCACACGGGACACUAGCUGUUAAUUAAUCGGCUCAACUAAUUAAUCAUGUCAUCAAGUUGCUUUUAGUGUAUAAUAAUGAAUUGUUUAUCUUAUAAUGUGGGCAAUAAUGGAGUAGCAUAUUAAGAUAUAUUAUGCUUUUGUGACUUGAACAAACUUGCCAAUUCAAAAUUGAUUUUUAAGCUUAUGUCAGUGGCCCUACACUUGAGAAACUAGUGUGUUGUACAGUUGAUAAAAUGUUACUUAGCAUGUAAUGUCGUAGUAUCAAACAUCUGAGUUCAAAAUUCAUCACAGAUUCUUUUAGUCACCUACUUUUGAGAGAAGAUGUCUUGGGAACGAAUUCAACAACUUUCCGAUAUGUUAAACUUCCCUAAAACUUCAAUAGAUAGUGUCAUGCUCUUUACACUGGAACGCAAAUUCUGUGAUAUUUUCAUUAGCUUGCAGAGUUUCACAGAUGAACCUAACAUGCUGGAUGUCACUCGGAAAAUCCAAACUCUAUUUCAAGAUGCUGUAUUUGACCUUUCUCCACUGUACCUAACUGAGUACUUUGAUCUCUAUGCCUCUGAGGUUCAAAGCAAGAUUUUAUUGACCAAGAGGGAAAUUAGAGCCAAAUACUCCUUUCCUAAAAUAUCAUUACAACUUCCAGCCAAGUUUGUUAAGGAUAUCAUCCCUUCUGUGCUAGAGAAUAUUGGUGGUCUAGUGAAGAUUCAUGAUCCAUAUUCACCUCUUUAUAUUCCCGAAACAGUAUUGGAACAUAUAGAAGAUGUUUCAAAGGAAUUGAAAUUGCUGCUAAAUUUUGUCUGCUUUGCAGCAGAGAAGUUCAUAGAGCCUCAGAGCCAACAUCAUGUUAAUUUCCUCACUCAUGUUUUAGCUGUGUCCGGCCACAUAUCAACGCUUAUCUGGAUGUAUUUACCAGACUUGGCUCCAGAGCAAAUGAAUGUUAUGCUUUCUGAUUUCUUGCGAAUGAGGAUUAAGCCAAUUCAACCAUGCAUCUGCAAGAUCUAUGUUGAUGUCUUGCUAUCAUUAAAGUCGACAAUACAAUCAGGAUGGUGUACCAACAUCGGAAGUGAGGAUGUAAUUGACAGUGAAGGCAGGUUUUUGGAGACCAUCGUACACAAUUUGGUGGAGGUGCCAACUAAUAGUAACUCUAGUCAGAGAGUUGCUUUGAAGGAUCACUUGGAAAUCCUUCAAAAGAUGCUCAACCUUUUGAGAGCCAAGUUCUUGAUUUGUCACCGAGAGGAGUGAACAUCACACAAGUUCUUGAUUUGUUAAGCAACAUUCAACGUCUAAGCAUAGACAUCUACCUCACCAUUCGGAAGGCGUUCCAAUCUAAUUUGCCUAGGAUUCAUGGACUAGGCUAUGUUGAUUGCCUUUUAAACAACCUGAAGAAGUUCCAAAUCCUCCAGUCAGAUUCACUAGCUUCUGUCAUGGACAAACUUCAAUUACUUCAGAAGGAAUUUGAGAACUUGCAACCUUUUCUACAGGUUGUUGCAGAAGAGCGAAACAAUGACCUCGACGAAAUUCAACGUUGUGCUACACAAUUGAUUGGCAAAGCACAUGAGGUAGAAUACAUAGUUGAUGCUUGUAUAAGCAAAAAAGCUCCUGAACUCCCAUCUUGUUGGUGAGACUUUGAUUCCCCACAUCGUGAUUCUUCCUCAUUUCCCCUUCCCCUACGAAUUUUUUUUAAAAAUAAAAUAAAAAUUUAAACUAACAAUACAGUACAAUAUAAUUGAUAUCAACCAUCCAAACAAGGUGCAACGGGUUGUCUGGUAGCUGUAUGAGAAACAAAUUAUCCAUAUGUUAAUUUUCGUAUAAUUUAUAUGAUGUUUCAUAGGUAGAUAAAUUAUAACUUCGUAUAAUUUAAAGACUAACUUUUGACUCAUAAGUUAAAAAUUAUAACUUGUGAUUUUUUUAACAUUUUACCUUAAAAUCAAUUGCUUAUAAGUACUUUAAUAGUUUACCUAAAUUAACACUUCAAAAGUCGUUAGAUAAAGUGUAUAAGAACAAUGCUAAAUAAAAUGUAUUAGUAAUGCUUGCAUCAAUUAUACAUAGAUUAUUUUCAUGCAUUAAAAAUUUACAAAGAUAUGUUUCACUAUUAUGGUGGAAAAGAUGUAAAAAAAAAAGAAAGAUUUUGAGGGGGCAAUUGAGUGAUUAAUCAUGCUAAUGCAUGCAUUAAAACGAUUGCAUUGCGAAUAUUUAGAAAUUCAUGGUAUUAGCAAUACACAGCUAUACAUAGAUUAGAAAAGAGUAGCAAACAAAGUAGUAGUAAUAGACAAGGGUAAUGCAUGCAUUAUUUUCUAAAUAACGACAACUAAAGGAGAGAAUGGAUAAUAAGUAGCAAGCAGAGCUCAUAGCAUAGAGUCUAUUCUGGUAGGCAAUCUUGUGAAGAAAUUGAGUGGAGCAGAUGGUAGGUUGUGAUGGAACCAUGGAUGUCUUAACACAUAAAAUCCAGUGACAAGAAUCACAACUCGAAAACCCAUGAAAUAGAGAACAAUGACAGCAAUCAAGCAGGAAAUAACAAACAGUUUGGUCACUCUAGGGUCUCUCCAUGACAGCAAAGAGUGCAGCCUCUCCCCUUGAUUAGCCAUGUCACCAACCACAUUCUGAAAACUUCCAGCAAUACUUUUCAAACGCUCAUACCUUAUCCGAACAAUAUCAGUUGGACGUGAAGUAGGGAAAGUAUCAAACUCCUCGUCCAGUUCAUCAGGAUGAGCAUCAUCAGCACAAGAAAGACGAAUGUCCAUGAAGGGAGGACGCCUAGGCCUAUAUCUAUAGUUCCAAACUACGAUUAAGGAGAGCGAGAGGAAGAUGGUAGGCAGAAUAAGCUCCGGAUAUAGAACUAGUAUCAAGAACAAGACAUGGAUCACAAGAGUCGUAAUGGGAUUUUUCCAAUUGCAAAUUUGAUCAAACCAUUUCCAAAUAGCAAUUAAUCCACCUAAAACAUCCAUAAUUCUUAAAAAGUUGGCUCUGAUUUUCCUCAUACUCCACAUGUCAGACUUGACAUCUAACAUAUACUCCACUAUCUCUUUCCUCAAAGGUGGCUCAGCACGACUCAACCACAUAGAGACCAUCUGACUAGCCUGAUGCCUCAAGUUGUCCAGCUUAAUUAGUUUCUCAAACUGAUUACCUUCAACAAUUAGUGGAUGAAUAUGGUGCAUUUUGGGUAACAGAGGCUGAGAGAACAAAUGCAUCAUAUUCAUUAAUGAUGAGCAAUUAAACCUAACUGCCAAGUGAAUUUCACCCAUCUUCUUUACCCCAGUAGGAUGCAACACCAGUAGCGGAUAAGAAUAUGUGUAGACACGAUCUGUCUCGAGAGCUGAAAGACGGAUCCUGACCUUUCCAAUCCUCGAGUCCCUAGCCUGGCCUCCAGGUUUAUCUCCUCCAUGUAGAUGACAAUUAUCAAAUACACCAAUGGUUAUGACAGUGCAGGGAUCAAAUACUUCCCAAGUGUAUUGCUCGUUCCACUUGGGAGCAAGACUAUCUAUAAUUGUCCUUGUUUGGACCCACUUGUGCCCAUAUUUGGCAACACAAUAGGCAUCUGUCGAAGCCCUCCCAUCCUUUGUUUUCAUCGGCGGUAGUCCCUGAGCAUUCAGAAUACCCAAUUCAAGGACACCAAUGCUGGAUUUCUGCAACUGUUUUGCAGUUGGUCUAAGAUCACCACUACUGUAGUCUAUUGGUUCAUCCAGAACAUGGUACCCUCCUUCUAAAUAUAACCUCAUCUGAAUCCUGCUUGCAAAGCUUGUUUCCUUCUCCUUUUCUCCCUCAACAAUAGCAUGCUUUUCAAGAUUAUACCACUUGCUGUACAUAGGUCUGUGGUUCAACCUCCUCUCAAUGUACUGCAAAUGAAUAAGACAUUUUCCAAGUAUUACAUCUUUGUUUGGUGCAACUCUAUCUUCCACGCUCAAAAUCAAUGGCUCCUCAAAUGGUUCUGCUGCUACAAAAAUCAAAUCCUCAUUCCAAAUGGGAUUAAUAGUCUUGCUCCUGGAAACUUUGGUUAUCAAUUCCUGAUUUCCAAGGAUGGCCUUCACGUAAACUUCUGGAAACCUACUUCUGUCAGCGGAAAUUAAGUCCUGAGCCUCAAUCACAUUAACUCUAAGGUACCACAGCUUUGGUGAGAAGUAAAUCUUUGACCUUAUAUUCACAAGAGAAUCAGCACCACUGACAGUGGCUGCAUCCGAAUGCCAAGAUUCUGCAAAGGCUUCAUCAGCUUGAGUACCCAUCCAAACAGCCAUCAUCAACUCUCCUUUAACUUUGCUACCACUUCCGUCCUCCAACCUAUACCACUGCGGAGCAAGAGGACUAUCUGGGGGGACCCUUUUAGGGAUCUCAUUCAAAUCAAACAUAACACGACCAACAGAAUCAUCCUUAUCUUUCACGUUCACCUCAAGAACGGAAACCUGAAUCUGAUCCAUUGAAAAUGCAAACACCUGAUUCCAUUCAGGAUUCGUUUUCUUCACAAAAUGACGAGUUGUACCACUAUAGUUUCCCAGCCUAACCUCAACAUAAGGAUCAAGAUCCUUCCCAGGUAAAUCUUUCGCUUUCACCACCCGGACAUAAAGAUACUGCAUUUGCUCAACCAAAUCAUAGGUCCUAGUAAACAUAUCACCAGUAACCUUCCCUCCAUCAAGGUGGGCUGAAAAAUCUUCUUGAGGUGGUCUCUGCAUUUUUAAACCUUUCUACUUCUCCACCACAAUUUAGCCAAAUGUCCAACAGAUAACAAAACAAAUCCUAAAUAAUAUCUCUGAGGAACAACUCAAAACUACACUAAUACUCAAGAAACUUCAUAUACAACACAAUCCAAGUUUGUUUUAUCCUAAUUCUAACUUAAGGUUUAAAAAGAACCUCAUGAAGGAUAACCCCAAACUGCCAAAAUCAUUCACAAUCUCAGAUCUGGUUCAGCUGAAUGCUUCACCCUGCAAAACAUUUUUUAAGCUUAAAAAACCAUAUUUAUACAAAUAAGAUAUAGCAAGUACAAUGAAUAAAGUUUAUCAACAAACUCAGAGGUGGUCAGGUGAACACCCUUCACUGAAAUAUUAUAUCGUGUAUAUAAGUAUAAAUGGUUAAAUAUCACACUUUGCACACAGUUUUGGGCUAAAAUCAUCCUUGAAGUAUAACCCAAACUUAGUAUACAUCCUUAUACUAUAAUUAUGAACAAAAACAUCUUUUAACUAUACCAAACUUGACAACAAGCAUCCUUCUGUUAAUUUUUGUUAAAAAACUAAGAGCUGAAAUUAAAAAAUGUGUCAUUGACAAUACUAAGUUGCCUUGCCUUCAAGUUGGAAAUACACAACAACAAAAAUAUACUUAGGGCCUGUUUGGAAGGACACCCUGGUAAUUAGAGUCGAUGAAAGCUUGAAAUGUAAAAAUGAUUUCAUUUUAAGUUGAAUUUUCUCCUACUCCCUCCUUUUAUUUUUCUGCUAUUUUGUUCACUUCAUAUCAAAUUAAACAAAAAUAUUACACAAUUUGAUUUUCAAAAUUUUGGUACGUUUAUUCAUAAAAAAAUAUUAAUAUUACGCAGUGUGAAUUUAAAAUUUUAGUGCACCCAUUCAUCAAAAAAAAAAAAUUGCUUAUGUAAUUUUUGAACAUGCUUCAUGAAAUUUCUGACUGUCCACUUAGUCAACUCAAUCAAAAAAUACCCUUCUCCCAUACCAUAAAAAGAGGGAAAAAAUAAUUAAAACUUUCUAAUGUCAAGAUUAUAGCUCAACAAAUACCAAGAACGUAAAAAAAAAAAUAGAUUUUUCAAGAAGAUAUUUAUAAGUAACUUAUAAAUUCGAAACUAAAAAUUAUAAAUCGGUAACACUUAACUUUUGACCCUUUAUUUGGGGUUUAUUUUCAGCCUUAAACUUUUUGCGUUUACAAAUACUUUUAAAACUUAAAAAAAAAAAAAAGAAGCUAAAAAUCACUUAAAAUAAGCUAAUUUAAAUACACUUAUUUAAUUUUUUACAUGAAAUAAAUAAAUAUUAAAUAAGAGAAAUGAAUAUACCUUGAAGGGUUCAUGGGAGGUGAGUGAAAGAUGGUAUUUUUGCUGAUAAGUUUCUAAAGAUUGGAAUUUUGAGGAGAAAAAAACAAAAAGGUUUUGGUUGUUUUUUGGUAUCAAACUGAAGGAGAAUGGUUUAGAGAGGGAAAAAAAAUUAAGAGACAACGAAAAAUUAGUCUGACAUGGUGGGUGAGGGAUUAUUUUUAAUAAAAAAUGUGUUGGACUAGAAUAACUAAUAAAAAUAAGUUAUAAAUAAAAAUUAUGAGUGGUGAUGGCUGCAACUUGCAAUGGAAAAAUGGUGAUGGGAGCUUUCUGUCAAAGAAGAAGAAGAUAUAAAAUCUUUUCUUUUUUUGCUAAAAAAUUAUCCUUUUCACGGUCACACACUUUAUUACGUAGGUAUAAAUCUUAAUUGAGGUGUUUAAGUAAAAUAUGCGAACAUGACUAUCUAUGACCUAAGCCUUAAAUAAAAAAUUUGAAAAUUAUCUUCAUUUAUAUAAUAGUUUCAGAUCUAUACCAAUGCUCUAUCACGAAGUCUCCAUUUUUUCCAAUUCUCCUAACUGGCAGCGGCAAUCCGGUGGCAAAUCGAUGGUGGACUGGUAAUUUAUGAUUUCAUUUAUCUAUAAUUGAGAUGCGAAUUUUUUUUGAAUCAGUAUCCUACAUCUAAUUAAAGUGAUGAUUUGGAGUUGAAUAAUUAAAAUUUAAUUACAAACAAAUAAGACUACUAAACAUAAAAGCAGUAGUUCAUUUUUUCCUAACCUAACUUUAAAUAUAAGAAAAAUAGAAAAUCAUAAUUUUGGAUAUUCUAGAGUCUUUUAGUGAAAGAUAAAAAGUUGAAGCAUUUCUGAGUCUUAGCACUUUUAGUUAUGUGAUUAUAGAAAGAUUUUAAUUAUGAUGAGAUAGAUUUGAUAUGACGGGGAAAUUCUUCAAAUAAGAUAGGUAAAACGCUCUCUUCGAAAGAGAUAUAUACACUACAUCAAAAAUGAUAUUUAGCAACAGUUAGAUAAUGAUAAUAGUUUAAUUGCCACUAAAUAUAUAUAGUUUUAGUGGUAAUUAACACUCUUUGUAAAUGUAUCUAAAGCCUAUAGCGACAUUAGAUCUAAUAAUAAUUAACUAAUGUGAGUAAAAAUACUUGUUCAAAGGGAUUGGCAGUGCUUUUGUAAGCAUACUCAUAGAGAAGAGAGAAGGUAAGAUCGCGGCCGACUGGUUUGGGCAUCUGAAGCUCUGAAGCAGCCGCCGGGUUAUCAACAGCUUUUGACCUGUCUGCCUGGACAUAAAAAUACCUAAAAAAGAAGAAAGAAAAAGGAAAACGUUAUUGUAAAUGGCACGAGAAAUGGACUCACUCUACAAAUAAUUGUGUAGAUUUCAGUCCGUUAAAAGUAGUUGUUUUUGUUACAGUGAUACUUGUACUGCUUCUGCCUCUCAAGGACUUUAUGCAUUGAAUUCCUUUAUACCUUUAGUCUAACAACUAUCUGUUGGUUGCAAUCAGUAUGAAAGCAUCUGAGUUGCUCUCUCCUUCUUCCCCUUUGCAGAAGCAUCACAGAUUCUUUUAGUCACCAACUCACUGAGAGAAGAGAUGUCUUGGGAAAAUUCGCAACGACUGUUCAAUAUUGUAACCAUCCCUAAAAUUUCGAUAGACAAACUCCAGCUCUUCACACUGGAACGCGAAUUCCACAAAUUUUCAUUAGCUUCCAGAGAUUCACAGAUGAACCUAACAUGCUAGAUGUCACUCAGAAAGUCCAAACUCUGUUUGAAGAUGCUGCAUUUAUCCUUUCUCCACUGCACCUAACUGACAACUUUGAUGUCUGUGCCUCUGAGGUGCAAAACAAGAUUUUGUUAAUCAAAAAGGAAAUAAGAGCCAAAUACUCCUUUCCUAAAAUAUCAUUACAACUUUCAGCCAAGUUUGUUAGUGAUAUCAUCCAUUCUGUGCUAGAGAAUAUUGGUGGUCUAGUGAAGAUUCAUGAUCCGUAUUCACCUCUUUAUGUUCCCGAAACAGUAAAGGAACAUAUAGAAGAUGUUUCAAAGGAAUUGAAAUUGCUGAGAAAUUUCGUCUACUUUGUUUCACAGAGGUUCAUAGAGCAUCAAAGUUAUUCUUUUCAUCUUAUUUUCUUCACUCAUGUUUUAGCUGUGUCUGUCCACACAUCAAUGCUUCUCUGGUUGUAUGUACCGGACUUGGCUCCAGAGCAAAUGAAUGUUAUGCUUUCUGAUUUCUUGCGAAUGAGGAUUAAGCCGAUUCAACCAUGCAUCCGCAAGAUCUAUCUUGAUGUCUUGCUAUCUUUAAAGUCGACAAUACAAUCAGGAUGGUAUCCCAACAUCCGAAAUGAGGAUGCAGUUGUACAGCGAAGGGGGAUUUUUGGAGACCAUCCUACACAAUAUGGUGGAGGUACCAACUAAUAGUAACUCUAGUCAGAGAGUUGCUUUGAAGGAUCACUUGGAAAUCCUUCAAAAGAUGCUCAACCUUUUGAGAGCCAAUAUCUUCCGUAUGCCAAUAAAAGAUCUUGAAUUUCUUCUUCGAGAUAUAGAGAUUGUGGUUAUUGAUGUUGGACUUAUGGUAUACUCAGUAUAUGAAGAUGAGGAGGAGAAGCAAGACAUGGCACUGGGAGGAGUGAACAUCACACAAGUUCUUGACUUUUCAAGCAACAUUCAACGUCUAAGCAUAGACAUCUACCUCACCAUUCGGAAGGCGUUCCAAUCUAAUUUGCCUAGGAUUCAUGGACUAGGCUAUGUUGAUAGCCUUUUAAACAACCUGAAGAAGUUCCAAAUUCUCCACUCAGAUUCACUAGCUUCUGUCAUGGACAAACUUCAAUUACUUCAGAAGGAAUUUGAGAGCUUGCAACCUUUUCUACGGGCUGUUGCAGAAGAGCGACACAAUGACCUUGACGAAAUUCAACAUUGUGCUACACAAUUGAUUGGCAAAGCACAUGAGGUAGAAUAUAUAGUUGAUGCUUGUAUAAGGGAAGAAGCUCCUGUCUGCUGCCUCGAGCAUUGGAUCUUGGAUAUCAUAGAGGAUAUUACUCUUAUCAGAGAAGAGGUAGCAGAGAUUCGUGAAAAGAAAAUGGAUUUGGUAGCAUUGAACACUGUCCCAGUUCAUACAUCAAAUUUGGCAAGGUCUCCAAUGAUGAAUGAAGAAAUUAUUGGUUUUGAGGAUGUCAUAGAAAAGUUAAGAGACCAACUAAUAAAAGGCAAGAAAGGGCGCGAUGUUAUGUCAGUUGUUGGUAUGCCAGGUCUAGGCAAGACAACUUUGGCCUAUAGACUCUACUAUGACAGGUCAGUCACUGAUCACUUUGAAAUCCAUGCACAGUGUUGUGUGUCUCAGGUAUAUUCACGUAAGGACUUGUUAAUAGCAAUUUUACGUGAUGCUAUCCGUGAGAACUUUGAGUGUAGAGAAAAACAAGCUGAUGAAUUAGCUGAUCAGCUUCGCAAAACUUUAUUUUCCAAAAGAUAUCUCAUCCUUAUUGAUGAUGUGUGGGAAACUAGUGUGUGGGAUGAUCUAAUAGGUUCUUUCCAUGAUGCCAAUAACGGAAGUAGAAUUAUUCUAACAACGCGAAAUCAUGAAGUUGCCAUGUACACUAGAUUUCAAAGUGAUCCCCUUCCGCUUCGUAUGUUUAACAAUGAUGAAAGUUGGGAGUUACUCCGAAAAAAAGUGUUUGGUGAAGAAAGUUGCUCUCCACUCCUAACAGAAAUUGGGCAACAAAUAGCAAAUAAGUGUGGUCAACUGCCUCUUUCAGUUGUUUUGGUGGCUGGUAUUCUGGCUGAGAUGGAGAAGAAAGUAGAAUGUUGGGAACAAUUGGCCAACAAUUUAGGUCCUCACAUUCAUGAAGACUCAAGGGCCAUUAUAGAACAAAGUUAUCAGAUUUUACCCUAUCGUUUGAGGCCUUGCUUUCUUUACUUUGGAGCACUUUUAGAGGAUAGUGUGAUUAGUGUUCCGAAGUUAACACAGUUGUGGAUCUCAGAAGGAUUCAUAAAAAGUUGUGAAGGCAAGAGCUUGGAGGACAUAGCAGAAGGCUAUUUGGAAAAUCUUAUUGGUAGAAAUCUAGUGAUGGGAACGAAGAGGACUUCUCGUGGUAAGAUCAAAGCAUGUCGCAUUCAUGACCUAUUGCAUGAUUUCUGCAAGGAGAGAGCAAAGGAAGAUAUGUGUCUCCUAUGGCAAAAAUGGUAAUAUACCAAUCAUUGCUACUCUUUUGGCACAGUCAAGUUAUAUUGACAUUUAAUCAUAUAAUUUUACUAAUUUCUGUAUAUAUUUGUAGGGAUCAAAAUGCCAAUCCGUCUUCUUGCCUUUCUGGUCACAAGCAACUAGCUCAUCGCAUGUGCAUUUAUGGUGAAGGGUAUCGUGCUGGAGAUUGGAGCUCGUGCUUGUCACAUGUUGUCUCUAUAAUUUUGCAUAACAAUCGUCUUUCAGUUGGCCUCGACUCUCACAUUUUCCACAGCGUAAAGUUUCUAAAAGUGUUAGAUAUGGAGUUCACUAGAAUUAACUCUUUCUCAUUUGAUCUAGUCUACCUCAGAUAUUUUGCUGCAGAAACGUCCCGCUUUUCAAACAAAGCCGGUUGUCGUGAACUUGAAACUCUGAAAUUCAAAUCUCUCAGUGAAAUGUCACUACCCAUUACACUCUGGGAGAUGGAUAAAUUGAGACAUGUGCAUAUUUCCAAUUGCAGCUUCACCAGUGAAAUUUCAAGAGAAUUGAUUGAGAACUCCAAAGACCUUGAUGAUCUGCAAACUCUAUCCACUCCGUGUUUUUCUUGCGCUCAGGAAGCGGAAUUGAUUUUGAGAAAAACACCUAAUCUUCUGGAACUGAGAUGCAAAGUCAGGGGUGUUGAUAACUUUCAGUGCUAUGUAUUGAACUUUCCAGCACGGAUUGAAACGCUCAAGAUUCAUCUUAGCUACACACGUGACACUAAAACAAUCCCCUUCUGCAUCUCUGCGCCAAAUCUCACAAACUUGACACUGAAGAACUUUUACCUACAUUGUCAGCAUUUAUCAGAAAUUGGUUCACUUCACAACCUUCAAGUGCUCAGUCUGAAAGGUAUUUCCUUUGAAACUUGUAAAUGGGAAGUGCGUGAUGACGAGUUCCCUCAGCUCAGAGUCUUGAAAUUACAUGCUGGCAAAGCUCACUUUGAAGAAUGGUUUGUCGCGGAUGAUGCCUUUCCUAACCUUGAACACUUGGUUUUGAGGGAUUGCAAAUUUCUCAAGGAGAUCCCUUCUUGGUUUGGAGAAAUCUCUUCUCUGAAGUCCAUUGCGGUAAGGAAUUGCAAUGAAAAUGUUGACAAGUCAGCCAGUGAUAUCAGGGAAACACAAGUUGAAGAUUACCAGAAUUCCAAGUUCGAGGUCUUUAUCACCAGAGAGAAUAACAAGUCAGAUUCAGGUACGCAACUCAUAAAAUUUAACUAUGAACAUUCCAAAACUCUGUGAAUUCAUUUCUUCUGUUACUCUAACUUCCAUUUUUAAAGGUAAAAGUUCUUGAAAUAGCACCAAGGUUUGAAAUACUAUUGUGCACCUCGACUAAUUCUAUAGGUACCUACUACCUCCAACCGCACAUGUACUAGAUAACUGAUGAUCAAAAGAAAUCAACUAGUGACUUCAGAAGAGACCCAUGAGGUCUCAAGUUCAAAUCCAGUAGUGUCAAAAACACUAUGCGAUGGUGGGCAGAGUUACCAGGUACCUAUGUUGGUGGGAGGUAGCAGGUACCCCUAGAAUUACUCAAAGUGCGCACAAGCUAGCCCAAAUACCAUGGUUAAUUAUCAAAAAAAUAAAAAUUAUUGUGCUCUUACUUUCUUUUUGGGUUUGUUGUUGUAGUAGUACAACAUUUUUGAGCAAUUAACUCAUUGAAACCUUUUCUUUUUUAACAGAUUAUGAAGACUAGAGUUGUAUCAGGAGCUGUCUAGAAGAUCAGUGUGUACUUCUAUUAGAAGCUUAAUCAAUAAAUCAUGUACUUUUGGUCUUGAAUGUAUUGAGUAACAUUGAAUCCAUGUUGGACUAUAGUUAUUAUAUGAGCUAUUUAU
rnacentral:lncRNA from 1 species